rfam:Oryza glaberrima chromosome 4 Oglab04_0103_1, whole genome shotgun sequence.
GAAAAGAUAAACACUGAUUUUCGUGUCUAACAUUUGAUAGCCUGUCUUAUUUAAAAUAAUUAUAAAAGAAAUUAAAAAAAUAAGUUAAUCAUAUUUUAUCAUCUAACAAUAAUAAAAAUACUAAUUAUAAAACAAUUUUAUAUAAGAUGGACAGUCAAACGUUGGCACGAAAACCCACGGUUUGCCUUAAG